CUUAACCAUAGUUUUAUCCCUUUGGGUUUUACUGGUAAGGUUUUAAUGAGGCAACAUCCAAAGCGUAUUACGAGCUCUGAAUGGUUAUAACAUUCAAGGGGGAGUGUUAUGAACCGUUUAAGUGAAUGCCAUAACCAAAGGCAGUUUAGACUUUUCCUUUUCUCAUGGUUUUUCUUUUCCUUGUAUGAUUAAGAUUUCUUUUUCCUUAUUGGUUUAUGAUUUGUAAUCUUUCCAUUUAUCUAUGACGGUCUAUACUUCUUGUAAUUCUCUAUAUAUAAAGGGCACAUUAUAUUAUGAAUAAGAACAACCAAUUCCCUCUUUCUCUUUAUUUACAACACUCUCUUUAUUAAUCUCUCUUAAGGAAACACUCACAAAAACCUUAAGCUUCUCACACACAAUCUUAAGACUCUCAAAGGUAUGCAACACUCUUGCAACUCUUUAUAUAGAGAUUAUAUUUCCUAAACUCAUUAGGAAACUAACUAUCCUAAUCCUAACUCAAUUAGGACUUGAGUAACUUAACUCGUAAGUUAACUUCAUGUUUAUCUCCAACAGAUCUAUCUUCUCUCUUCAUCUCUGUCACUCAAUCUAUCUCCUAUCUCCCUUUGUUUAAAGCAAACGGACAUCACUAAUGUCAGACAGCUUGCUCAAGACAAAGAUGAGUAUUUGAGGUCCUUCUCCAUCACAGGGAACUAACCAGACUUGCCAAUGCCUCCUAGUGAGGUCAGCUCGUUCUACCUCUGUCAGGGAUAUUUCCUUCCUAUACUCCCGUUUGCAAGUUAACAUACUCAUAUAUUAUCUCCCUGUUAGGUAAGAGAUUGUGAUUUUGUUUGCUUUGUCCAGCCGAUUUCUUAAGCUUGUUCUUUCAAGUAGAUUGGUUAAUCUUUCUUCAAAACUUGUAGGUCGAUUCUUUAUCUGAUUCUGGUGCUAAUCUAAGGAUGAGAAGGGAUAUGAAAAUAGCUCAUUCAGAU